rnacentral:rRNA from 1 species
UACGGAGGAUGCGAGCGUUAUCCGGAUUUAUUGGGUUUAAAGGGUGCGCAGGCGGAUUUUUAAGUCAGCGGUCAAAUCGUGGGGCUCAACCCCAUCCAGCCGUUGAAACUGGGGAUCUAGAGUGUGCGAGAGGUAUGCGGAAUGCGUGGUGUAGCGGUGAAAUGCAUAGAUAUCACGCAGAACCCCGAUCGCGAAGGCAGCAUACCGGUGCACAACUGACGCUCAGGCACGAAAGCGUGGGUAUCGAACAGG